rnacentral:rRNA from 1 species
AGAGUUUGAUCAUGGCUCAGGAUGAACGCUAGCUACAGGCUUAACACAUGCAAGCCGAGGGGCAGCAUGUUGGUUGCUUGCAACCAACGAUGGCGACCGGCGCACGGGUGAGUAACGCGUAUCCAACCUACCCUUGUCCAUCGGAUAACCCGUCGAAAGGCGGCCUAACACGAUAUGCGGUUCACAGCAGGCAUCUAACGUGAACGAAAUGUGAAGGAGAAGGAUGGGGAUGCGUCUGAUUAGCUUGUUGGCGGGGUAACGGCCACCAAGGCUACGAUCAGUAGGGUUCUGAGAGGAAGGUCCCCCANAUUGGAACUGAGACACGGUCCAAACUCCUACGGGAGGCA